AAUGAACGCUGGCGGCAGGCCUAACACAUGCAAGUCGAACGGAUCCUUCGGGAUUAGUGGCGGACGGGUGAGUAACGCGUGGGAACAUACCCAAAGGUACGGAAUAGCCUCGGGAAACUGGGAGUAAUACCGUAUGUGGUCGAGAGACGAAAGAUUUAUCGCCAAAGGAUUGGCCCGCGUUGGAUUAGGUAGUUGGGGGGGUAAUGGCCUACCAAGCCGACGAUCCAUAGCUGGUUUGAGAGGAUGAUCAGCCACACUGGGACUGAGACACGGCCCAGACUCCUACGGGAGGCAGCAGUGGGGAAUCUUAGACAAUGGGGGAAACCCUGAUCUAGCCAUGCCGCGUGAUCGAUGAAGGCCUUAGGGUUGUAAAGAUCUUUCAGGUGGGAAGAUAAUGACUGUACCACCAGAAGAAGCCCCGGCUAACUCCGUGCCAGCCGCCGCAGUAA
rnacentral:rRNA from 1 species